rnacentral:tRNA from 1 species
GGUAGGGUGGCUGAAUUAUAGGCUGUAAAUUGUAAAUUUAUAUAUGGUUGAUUACCUCCUGCCA